GGAGAGCUGGCCGAGUGGCCGAAGGCGCACGCUUGGAAAGCGUGUAUACGGCAACGUAUCAAGGGUUCGAAUCCCUUGCUCUCCGCCA
rnacentral:tRNA from 1 species